GGAACAUAAGAACCCGUCUCUUAACUUUUAACUUAAAAAAUUAAGAACCAGCUCUUAAAACUCUUAUUUAAGAACCGGUUCUUAGUUUUUUUAGUUAAAAGUUAAGAGACGGGUUCUUAUGUUCC
rfam:Brassica oleracea var. oleracea cultivar TO1000 chromosome C7, whole genome shotgun sequence